AAGCCUUAGGACUCAGCCACCUUUAAAUUUGCAAUUUAAAAUCAUUUUGAAUAUAAGGCU
rnacentral:tRNA from 1 species